rnacentral:lncRNA from 1 species
UUAUACUCUGGAUCGUUGCUUCUGACUACCACACGUACAACAAGUUAACUUGAGUCCACCAUGGAACGCGCGCGUGUGGCCAUCAGAUCUGCCACCUCAAUUAAUAAGGGAGAUGUGACGACCCUUGUUUUUUCUAUUUUAAUUUUAAUUUAUGAUUUUAUGUUUAACCCUUUUAUUUUGUUUAAUUUAUAUUAAUUUCAUUUUUAAUCCAAAAAAAUGGGACUUUCAC